CGGAGCAGUGUUGGGGGGCGCUGCGCUGCGAGGCGCGAGAUGGGAUAGGCUCUGGAAACCGGCUGCGUUUUUGUUUUUGUUUUUUUUCUUUCUUUUUCCUUUUCUUCUUCCACCUGGUAAUUGCGUUUCGCUUCCAGGGGCUUGUUUUAUUUUAUUUUACUUUAUUUUGUUUAUUUUGUUAAGCGACGUACGCGCACUCGGUUGCUUCGGUGCACGUUUCUGGAAAUGAGAAGUUAAUUUCCACUCCUGAUUACUCCCACCCCAGCCCCACUUUGGAAAGGGAUCUUCUCUCCAGUGGCUUCCCUGAUGCUACUGCAGUUGCUAAGCAACAUGGAGCUAAGCAGAAGCAAAAUGUAAUUGUCCCAGGAAGGGAAUUCCAGGUCUACAAAGGCUGGAUUGUAGUUUGGGAAACUGCCUUCCUGGCUGCAAGAAAUUCAGUAAAAGAAGCAUUCUUGGCAUGUGGUUCCUCAUGGAUGCUCCAAGAGAGUGGUUUUUGAUACUUGAAAGGCAACAAGAAGCCAAAAGGAGAUCCCGGAGAAAUACUACAAGGAGGUGCCGGCUCUUCAUUCCCCUCUAAGAAUCUACCUACUUGGGCCAUACCGGGCAGAGGGACAAAUUUUCUCUGUAAGAUGCUUGGCUUUGCUCCUUCACAACUUUGGCAUAUGUCUGACUUUGAUUUCUUUUAUACUCCAUGACAAGCCUCAACUGCAACCUUUUUUGUGAUUCCAUUUUUCUCAUAGAAAAAUACCUGAUCACCUCCCGUGCAUCUACGGUGCAUUCCUGGUACCUAUGACUGAGGCCAAGGGGCUGGCACAUGCAUGACUCUCCAGCCUUGAGAGUUUCUUCAGGAGGACCACAGGAAAUGUGGUUACAAUGGGGAAUGGGCGGGGCUGGCACUCCAGGUGUGUUUAGAAUAAAGAGCUAAAACUCUCAGCAAACGUAUAUAUUUCCAGUACUAAGGUCAUCUUGUCACAUGGGAAGAACUUGAGCUUUGAAGUUAAGCAGGCUUGGGUGUAACUCAUCCUGAGAAAAAUCUCUCUGAGCUCCAGCUUCUUCAUCUGAAAAACAGACCUACUGAUAGUAGCAACUUCACCUCUUUAGGGCACUAGUGAGGAGUAAGGGAGGCUAAAUGAGAUAAUGUAUGAUGAGCACCUGUAUGGUCAAGAUUAUGCUAGAUGCUGAAAGAGUACAGGAGGUACAUUGUAUAUUUGUCAGUAAACUUUCAUUUGGAACCUACUAUAUUUGACCUACACUUAGUACUAUGCAUACAAAAACUGUUACGAAUGUCCUUUACCUUAAGAAUUUUCAGGCUAGUAAAAGAGAUCCAUACGAUGUUAGAAUCAGGAUGAUCAUUCUCUCUUAAUUUCUUAGUGAUUGAACCUGAAGAACAUUGUGAUUUAUUCUUAACCUCUUACCCGCGGCCAGCUAUAGCUCUUAAUAGCAGAAGAGUCCUCUGUACACAGCUUUAUCCCGCCUUCAUGCAUUUGAAAUCAAUUUUAACAGACAAGAUUAUAUGUGAACCAGUAAAUUUGAAAUAUAAGAGAUGAUACAAACUGUACUUGUUACCCACAAAUAUGAAGAUGCGGAAGGGAUUCCGUCAUAGGAAAGAGACCGAGAUGAUCUUUAAUGUGCCGUCUGUCCAUAUGAUGCUAUGAAACUAAGAGCUGAGAAGAGAAAUCCAAGUGAGCUACAGUUUAAAUUAAAACUUUUAGGGAUCCCUGGGUGGCGCAGCGGUUUGGCGCCUGCCUUUGGCCCGGGGCGCGAUCCUGGAGGCCUGGGAUCGAAUCCCACGUCGGGCUCC